AUUUCUCCUAUGAAUAAUUUCGGAAUUUACAUAACAUCAAGAUUUGAUUUGAUGCUGGGUGUACUGUUUAUGCCAGAGUCAACAUCUAUAGAAGUAAUUCAGCUUCCAGCUAUAGACCAAAAUAAAUCACUACAGAGGGAGUCAAAAGGGACCUCCAAGAAGUCAUGGUGUUUCCUUGUAGCAUAUAAAUGUUGGUCCAUGUUUAAUUCACAAUGGCACAGAUCUAGGAUCUGCUAGUGUCAUACUUCUAAGAACUUACUCACAUCCUCAUCAAGAAGACCCGAGUCAAUCCAGCCACAAGCACUGUAGCAACUAACAUGUCUUUACUAUUUAUGGCAAUGCAGAGAGAGACAUAUCAGAAGCAGGAUCUCCCUCUGCACAGGAAGUAAUAUUUCAAUGGGAUUGUUAUUACGGCUGCCAUCUUAGAGUACAGAAGAGCAGCUGAGCCACAGAAGCAGUGAUCACUUGCCAACUUUCCUCUUGCAGAGCCAGCCGAGGUCUUCCUGAGAUUUAUAGUCGCCCCGUCUGAGACCCUGGCUUGGCAUCUACCUUUGCUCUCACAUAAAAGGAGCCUAAUUUCUGCUUUUAAGAAAUGUGUUGCUCGAGAGAUUUUUGAUUUGGGUUCUUUUAAGAAUAAUGCAAUAAAGUAUAAUAAAAGUUU
rnacentral:lncRNA from 1 species